CAUUAUCAUGUAAUAUAUCCAGUCAUGCUGCCGCGUGAGCUGUAUAAACCCACCCCGCGUACGCUGUCCUGUUGCUUCCGCCGUGCGCCCAAAUGCGCCCGGCGGAAGUUGAAGAAGAAUAACCUCCGUGUUUUACUACGUAAUCCGUCUGAAUGAAUGGGAACGAUGAAAUGUUAAAAACUUUCAGCAACGGAUCUCUUGGUUCUCGCAUCGAUGAAGAACGCAGCGAAAUGCGAUAAGUAGUGUGAAUUGCAGAAUCUAGUGAAUCAUCGAAUCUUUGAACGCACAUUGCGCCUUCCGGCAUUCCGGGAGGCAUGCCUGUUCGAGAGUCAUUGACAACCGUUUCGAGCCCCCUUUUGUCCUUUCUCCAAGUUCUGGAGGGGGUCGGUGGGGAUUCGUUGUUGGUGGUGGAGGCACGAGUUGCCGGGCUUGCCCGCUAUGCUUGGCAAAUCUCCUCCCCGCUGAAAUUCGGCAUGGGGCUGUUUUAUAGGUGGUGGGAUUGAAGGCGAUAUAAAUUCUCCCCGGCCCCCCGGGUAGAUUGUGCCGACCCCCUCAACUUCCGCGGUUCACAGCCGGUCCUGUGUGUUAAUUGGCCCACGUCACGAUGGAUGGCGGUUUCGUUUACGGCGAUGUGCGGAGGACCUCCUCCAUCUUGGAGCCGCCGUGUACCCGUAACGUAACGAUUGGGUCGGCCGACCUGUUGCUUGUAGCUGUACUCCACGCUUGUUGCAAUUCGGUACCACAGGACGCUGGCCCAGCCAGCCGACAAGGAAGGACCUUGCGCCCGCGCCACUUUAUUUUAAAUCAAUGGUUGACCUCGGAUCAGUAGGGAUACCCGCUGAACUUAAGCAUAUCAA
rnacentral:sRNA from 1 species